GGGAGUCCGCUGUCCUCACAGCAAGAAACGGAAGGAGGUUCCCUCAGGGCUCUUUUGCCUCCCGGAAGUACAAGGCGCCUCCAUCUUCACAGCAUGAAGGAAGCCGAGGAGAUGCCAUGUGAGGGUGCAGCGAGGAGUUGGGCUGUCUAAAAGCAAAGAAAGAGAUUGCAUCAGACACCGCAUCUGCUGACACCUUGUUCUUGGACUUCCAGCUUCCAAAACCGCGAGAAAUAAAUGUCUGUGUCUAAACCCCAACCCUACCACCUCAACUGCCGUGUGUGGUGUUUUGUGAUGGCAGCCCCAGCUGACUGAGACACCUGGUUAGACCGGAAUAAGCAGGCUGCAAUCGGUAGCAGUCACCAUUGAACAUCCUUGAAGCAAUUCUUCCAAAAUUACCUUGCAUCAAAGACUGCACAAGAACUGCUCUAAGCGGAAGGACUGAUGUCGGCAACCAGGGUUCCACCAGGGGCUGCAGACAGCCCUUGACCUUCAGAAGUAACCAAAUUUACUCACGUAGGCCAGGAAUUUCUAUGACGUGUUCCAAAUUCAGCCUCUCACUGAACACUUCCAGAGCAAGGCAACAUAAACAUCUGCAAGAAGAACAUUGUGUGAGAAAUAUCAAGUGAGAGUGGAAGAGUCUGCGGAGGGCCUCCCUGGGGCUCACCUGUGCUUUUGCCUGAGCUUCACCGUGUCAAGGAUGCAGCACUUUUUCCCUCUGGAGGAAGCAGCUUUCACCUUGGAAGAAUCUUGACCUUGCCAUUCAAAGUCACCAGACAGGGAAUCUGCCAGUGCCUUGAUCUUAGACUUCCCAGCUUCUGUAACUGUGAGCAAUAAAUGUAUGCUGCUUAUAAACUA
rnacentral:lncRNA from 1 species